UACCAAUGGCUAAUCGGAUAUCCAGAGAAUAAAUAGAGAUCAGUGGUUACAUCAUAGACAUUAUAUAUGUAACCCAGGGAAUAAACCACCUUGCUGCUCCAUUGGUUAGAAUGACAAUUAGUCACAUGGUGCAUUCAGCCAAUCAGUGCAACUGGAGUGGUUAUUCAGGCCUGCUCCAGCUUUCCCAGUCAGGUGUGAGGGGGAGAGCUGGAGACAAAGGAGCUACAGAUAUGCAUACCCAAUCUUCCACAUCAUUAUGACUGUAAGGAGAAGGAGGUCCAGGCGAGCCAGCAGCCUUGUAACGAAGAGACAAACUGUAGUUUGGACCAAGAGAGACCUCGGCAGGUGAUGAAGGAACAAGAAGAACCCGAAUUCCUACAGGUGAACAUUAAACUGGAGGAACCAGAACUUCUGCAGUUAAAAGAGGAACAGUGUGAAACUGGAAUCAGUCAGGUUGAAGAGCGGCUUGUUCUGAAUCAGCAGACUGAUACGCUAAUGAUGAAGGAAGGAGACCAUGGAGAACCAGAACCUGGUGAGGACCAGUUCCCCUCUCAGAACGCUCCUGAAGCUGAGAACCUAAACGAGAAAGAGAACCUUGAUAAAGACUCAGGAUUAAUAGAAGAAGUGUUGAAACAAAAUAAUAGAGAUGAAACCAAACUGAGGAGAAAGAAAGUUAAGAAAAGAGCUUUUUGUAAAAUCUGUGGUAAAAGUUUCAGUCCGUGUUAUUUAUAUGAUCACAUAAGAACUCACACAGGUGAGAAGCGUUUCUCGUUCAAGACCUGUGGAAAGCGUUUCAUUCAAAGCGGUCAGUUGACUGGUCACUUAAGAAUUCACACAGGUAAGAAACCUUUCCCAUGUCAGAUGUGUGGGAGACGAUUUAAUCAAAAGAUUAAUUUGGUUACUCACAUGAGAAUUCACUCAGCUGGGAAAAACCUUCCCUGUGAAAUAUGUGGUAAACAUUUCUCUUGCAAUGAUCUGUUAGCCUCUCACUUGACCACCCAUAUGAGUGCAAAACCGUUUUCUUGUCAGACCUGUGGAAAAGCUUUGUCAGAAGAUUCAUUUAACACGACACACAAGAACUCAUACAGGUGAGAAACCUUUUGAGUGUCAGAUUUGUGGAAAAGGUUUCAUCCAAAAGGAAAAUUUAAUUACUCACACAAGAAUCCACACAGGUGAGACACCUUUCUCUUGUCAGACAUGUGAAAAAAGUUUCAGUGACAGAAGUAAUUUAAAACAUCACAUGAAAACUCACAAAGCUGAGAAACGCUUUCUGUGUGAAAUCUGGUCAGUUUUUCUCUCGAAGCAGUAAAUUAACUCUUCACAUGUGCGCUCAUAUAGACGAGAAGCCUUUAACAAGUCAACCCUCUGGACAAGGUUUCAGUGACGUAAGUUAGUUCAAGCCCAACAUGAGCGCUCAAACAGGUGAGGAGGUGUAGUUCUUUAAAUGUGGCAACACUGAAAUAUUAGAGCAGUUCCAGUUGACAAACUUUAUCAUCAUUAAUCUGAAGGCCUAACAUUCAAAUGUUGAAGGUUCAUUUAUGAAUGAAUGAUUGAUUUAUUUUAGACAAUCCACCAAAAUAUUUAAUUUAAUGCUUACAGAGAGAAUUCAGUUAUAAUACAAAGGGUUCCCACUCCCACCCAACCUUGCGGGUCCCCGGGCUUUACACUCCCACCAACCCCCAAAAUGUAAUCGCUAUGUCUGAAAAUGUAUGAAGAAAUAAUAAAAAAAAUUAUCAUA